rnacentral:rRNA from 1 species
UACAGAGGUCUCAAGCGUUGUUCGGAUUCAUUGGGCGUAAAGGGCGCGUAGGCGGCCGUGCAAGUGGAAGGUGAAAUCCCUCGGCUCAACCGAGGAACUGCCUUUCAAACUGCAUGGCUUGAGUCCGGGAGAGGUGAGUGGAAUUCCCAGUGUAGCGGUGAAAUGCGUAGAUAUUGGGAGGAACACCAGUGGCGAAGGCGGCUCACUGGACCGGAACUGACGCUGAUGCGCGAAAGCGUGGGGAGCAAACGGG